rnacentral:lncRNA from 1 species
GCUGCCGCUGCCGCCCAGGCUGGAAGCCCAGACACGGAAUCCCGAAUAACCAAAAGGACACUGUCUGUGAAGGUAUGACCUGGCCCUAGAAGCUCCCCACCCCCAGCACACACACUGACAAGCGGCCUAAUGAGCCGCUUGUCUUGUUCCCUACAGAUAUGACUUUCUCCACCUGGACCCCGCCCCCUGGAGUCCACAGCCAGACGCUUUCCCGAUUCUUCGACAAAGUCCAGGACCUGGGCAGAGACUCCAAGACAAGCUCAGCCGAGGUCACCAUCCAGGUAAGGGCAGGAUGCUGGGGGACCCCAGGACAGUGUAGAAUCAGCUAGCGGAGGCUUCCAUGUGGCCAGAGAGAGUGCCCAACCCAAGCAGGGGCCUCUAGUCAGAGACACACAUGCGCAUAACAUACA